UACGUAGGGGGCAAGCGUUAUCCGGAUUUACUGGGUGUAAAGGGAGCGUAGACGGCAGAGCAAGUCUGAAGUGAAAGCCCGCGGCCCAACUGCGGGACUGCUUUGGAAACUGCCCGGCUAGAGUGCUGGAGAGGUAAGCGGAAUUCCUAGUGUAGCGGUGAAAUGCGUAGAUAUUAGGAGGAACACCAGUGGCGAAGGCGGCUUACUGGACAGUAACUGACGUCGAGGCUCGAAAGCGUGGGGAGCAAACAGG
rnacentral:rRNA from 1 species